rnacentral:pre_miRNA from 9 species
GGGUCCCCGCUCCCUUCGGCCACGGGUAUCCUCGGGCGGAUAACACGGAGCCGCUGUUAUUGCUUGAGAAUACGCGUAGCCGAGGGGCGCCCCCUCCUC